GCAAACCAGGAAGUUGUUCCUGGUCUAUGGAAAGUGUCUCUGCCCAUUUCAGGGAGUGGGACUGGAUGAGCUUUAAUGUCCCUUCCAGCCCAAACCAUCCUGGCAAUCCAUGAUUCUAAACCUCAGUCCAUCUGCAGCCAAAAGGAUUAAAGUGUCUGAGGGGACAAACAGAGGAGUGAGUGAGAACCUCUGCAUAAAACAAACACAAAUCCCAGUGUCAGUUCUGGUGUCAUAAAAUGGAAGGUCUGAGCCUCAAGUGUUAUGGAAAUCCUGGAGAAAGUUCUUUGUAGGGAGAGGCUUAGCCCAGCUCAUUGUCAAGACCAGCAUUCCCCUUAUUUCUGUGCAAACACCUCAGGGGAAAGGCCAGGUACUGAAAGGUUUUGUGUUUGGCAGGCAAAGGAAGGAGGAACAAAGGGGAGAGCUGAGGAUGGACAACUCCAGCUGGGAAAGAGGCACAUGCUGCUUACCAGGAGGAAAUUCCCCAGUCUCCAGCUGAGAAGGAAUAUUUGCAGCUCCCCAGGCCUUCAAAGGGGUGAAGCAGGAACAGAGUGGAAGGAACAGAACUGCUGUCCCUGAACCCCUGAAGCAGCAGGUUGGAAAAGGCCACUGGUGUAACUGGGCACAAGAGCCACCCACAGGUGAGUGACACUGCACACAGUGUGAGCAGGGACAGACACCCACUGGACAGAGCAAGGAAAUUUUAAAUAAAUUGAAAAAUUUAAAGUUUAAGGCAUCCAGGGUAGUUCCAAAGUGGUUCCAGUUUGUCCAUGCCAGGGCUGUGCUGGGAUGUUGCAGGGGAGUGGAACCAGUGAACCCUGCUGGUGAUGCUGGCCCUGCAGCAGCCUGGACACCUUUGCUCUGCACUGCUCCAGGUUUUAGAGAAGAUUAGUAACAUUUCUACCAAUCCCAAGCCACUGAGCCUUCCCUGUAGAGCUAAGCUCAGGCAGCAGAGGUUUCACAGCUCAUCCAACCUCAGGCCCAGCUCUAAACUAAAACUAAAGUAAAAAAUGCAGCAGGACAGAGUUUAACAAUAAAAAAAAAAAAAACAACCCAAAAAAACCCACAAACAAACAAACCCAAAAAACCCUGCACAGCUGCAGAGACAAAAUGACAUUAAAACACCAAACCUGCUGUGCCUGGAAAGGCUUUUCCUUUCAGUCAAAGGCUGGAGCUCCUGAAUUUCAG
rnacentral:lncRNA from 12 species